rnacentral:rRNA from 1 species
GAUGAACGCUGGCGGCGUGCCUAAUACAUGCAAGUCGAGCGAACAGACGAGGAGCUUGCUCCUCUGACGUUAGCGGCGGACGGGUGAGUAACACGUGGAUAACCUCCCUAUAAGACUGGGAUAUCUUCGGGACACCGGAGCUAAUACCGGAUGAUAUAUUGAACCGCAUGGUUCAAUAGUGAGAGACGGUUUUGCUGUCACUUCUCGCUGGAUACGCGCCGCAUUAGCUAGUUGGUGAGGUAACGGCUUACCAAGGCAACGAUGCGUAGCCGAACUGAGAGGGUGAUCGGCCACACUGGAACUGAGACACGGUCCAGACUCCUACGGGAGGCAGCAGUAGGGAAUCUUCCGCAAUGGGCGAAAGCCUGACGGAGCAACGCCGCGUGAGUGAUGAAGGUCUUCGGAUCGUAAAACUCUGUUAUGAGGGAAGAACAAAUGUGUAAGUAAAUAUGCACGUCUUGACGGUAACUAAUCAGAAAGCCACGGCUAACUACGUG